UUAUUUCCGGAAUCGAAUUUUUGUUUAAUUUUCCAUUAUCGAACAUGCAAAAUUGGCAAAUGUGACAGCAAUAUUUGGAACGGUUCGUAUAAAGUAUAUUAACACUGUGCCAUAUGUUUAAACAGGAGCGGUGUUUUUAGACAACGUACAAAAACGCAGCGAGCAUAUGCUAAUGUGGAUGUAUGUGCCUGCUCUCUAGGAGCGAUGGAGAGGCUAAUAUCCAAAGUGACAGAGAAACAUGUUCUCUUCACGGCUUCUUUCGCUAUACGUCUUGCUUUGGUCGCUUAUGGAGAUUUCCACGACAGAACGAUGGUAGUCAAGUACACUGACAUCGACUAUCAUGUGUUCACGGAUGCUGCGAGGUUCACUACGAAGGGCGAGUCCCCGUACAACAGGUCAACCUACCGAUACACACCUCUACUGGCAUGGCUGCUCAUUCCGAACAUUUAUAUCCACGUGGUGUUUGGCAAGCUCCUUUUCAUCCUAUGUGAUGUGCUGUCCGGACUGCUGAUCUACAGAAUCCUAUGCCUACGGGGUCUUGGCUCUGAGACGGCACGGCGGGUUUGUUCGCUGUGGCUCCUCAACCCCCUGCCGAUGGGAGUAUCCAGCCGUGGGAAUGCUGAGUCCAUCUUGGCCGCUCUGGUGCUGGGAACACUACUUUGUAUAGAGGGCCGAACCAUGACGUGGGCAGCGCUGCUCUACGGCCUGUCCGUUCAUAUGAAGAUCUACCCCAUCACCUAUGCUCUGCCCAUUCUUCUGACUCUUCGCACACCACGGAUCAGAAGAGAGGAAGAGCAAAAAAUGUGGAGGAACAUCGUUGGCUUCUUGGGAAGUUUCUUCAACAGGGAGUUGUUCCAUUUCGCAAGUGUGGCCGGAGGUCUUUUUUGUGCACUCACAGCACUUUUCUAUCACAUGUAUGGUUGGACAUUCCUUCAUGAGACUUACUUGUAUCAUCUAACUCGAAGAGACAUUCGACAUAACUUCUCUCCAUACUUCUACAUGCUCUACCUUACUGCAGACAGCAGCUGGAGCCAGUGGCUUGGGCUGGUGGCGUUCCUUCCACAGUUGAUCCUCCUGCUGGUCACGUCGUGGGCUUUUCACCGUGACCUGGCCUUUUGCUGUUUCCUACACACCGCCAUCUUUGUCACUUUCAACAAAGUCUGCACAUCACAGUACUUCCUGUGGUACCUGAGUUUACUUCCUCUGGUCAUCCCUCAUUUGAGUCUUUCACUGACACAAGGAGUGGGACUGCUGCUCCUCUGGUUUGCUGGACAGGCUGUGUGGUUGGUCCCGGCUUACUACCUGGAGUUUGAGGGCUACAACUCCUUUCUGUUCAUCUGGCUUGCCGGACUGCUCUUUUUGAUUGUUAACUGCUUCAUCUUGAUACAGCUCAUCGUGCAUUACGAACCAAAACUGACAGCAAAGAGAUCCAAGUUUGAUUAACCCCGGCAUCUGCAGGAAUGUGCAAGAACUUGUCACUGUGAUUGGAGCUUCAGUAUGAAGACGGAUACCAUUUCUUGUUUGGAUUUUUUAUUUAAGUGUUUUUUAACUGCUUUUUUUUCCUCAUCUAAAUUAUGUUUUUUUCUGUAAAUAUUAGAAAUUGUAUCCGCACCCCGGAAUGUUCGGCAGGCAUUCACAGGCCAGGGCACAUAUAGACAACCAUUCACAUUCUCAACUUUUAUUAUAAUUAACAAUGAUUGUAAUGUACAGUACUCUUGACUCAUUUAAGUUGGGCCUUUCCAGUAAACUCCUUUAAUUGUAUUGCAAUGUUCUAUUGAAAGGGUUCCACCAAACAUUGAACUGUCUGAGAACUUAACAUUCAGUUGGACAUAUCCCAUGGUAAUAUUAUUUUAGCGUCAUUAACGCUAAUAAACUUAAUGAAGAACAUUUUGUUCUGUCAUGGGAAAACUGCAGUGUACAUUUUGUGUGUGUUUUUAUUUAAUAUCAUAAAUAUAUACCCCAGUAACCAUGUCUAUGUUGCAACCGUGAAACUUGAAAAUGACAGAAAUGUUAACAUUUGAGUUCUCUGCACUUUCCGGCCCUGACCAGUAGGCGGCAGCUUGUGUUUGCAGAAUGGGCGUCUGUACCGACGUAACCUCUGAUCAAACCUUCAGGUGGCACUCGACCUCAACUGGCCACUGGCCUCCAGGGCAUCUCCAUAAAUCCAUCCAUCCAUCCAUCCAUCCAGCCGUUGUCCGUUCCCAUCACCUUCAUUCAUUCAUUCAUCUUCCGUUCCGCUCAUCCUCACUAGGGUCGCGGGCGUGCUGGAGCCAAUCGUGGCAAUCUUCCGGUACACCCUGAACUGGUCGCCAGCCAAUCGCAGGGCGUUCCCAUCACAUAUUCUUAUUAAAUACUGGCUAAAAUGAGUAAGCUGUAACAUCUGAAUACUCAAGAGUUGAAUAUAAUGUAAUGGUUAAAUAUAUUUUUUAAAAAUGCAGUGGCGUUCAAAGCAUAAAUAGUAAGUUAAUUAGUUUUUAAAACAGUUUACUUUCAACAAAGGUAUAUAGCUGAACUGAGAAUAUUCACAGGCAAUCUAAUGCAAUGCUCCUCAACCUUUUUGGGGUCCAGGAACUCCUGCAUAUUUUUGAUCGACCCUAACGACCUUUUCACGGACCCCUUGCAAUUACAUCGUGAACCAGUCGGGGUCCAAGGACCCCUGGUUGAGAAACACUGAUCUAAUGGACUGUUGAAACGAAUCUGCUGAUCACUUUAACAAUUGAUCAACGCUAAAAUAAUAAUACAAACAACAAUAAGAAAGAUAAAAUCAUUAUAAUUUAUUUGCAAACAUGAUUCUAUUUUUUUACCAUGGACAUGCAUUUCCUGGGCAGUUCAUGUGGUACACCUCAGAUUGGUUGGAACACAUUCUUAACUUUUGAUUGACACUGUUAAAAAUGUAUUUUAGUUUUAUUGUAGCCUGUCCAAUAUUUGUACUCUCUGGUAUCUACCUGACGAAGCCAAAAUAUUAGAAACACUUCCAAGUAUGACGCAGUGCAGUUCAACGCCAUCCGUGUUGAGUACCACAGGCAUUACUUUGCUAAUUAUAGUAAUUAUUGUGGCAGAAAUGUUGUAUGCGCCUUCAUGUUUUGGACCGUGAGUGUAUGGCUCAUUUCAGAAUUGGAGGACAUUUUCUGUAACCUCUGCCCUGCACUAAAUACAGAACUGUGCAAUUUUUGUGUCAAUUAUUGUUUUCUUGAUGUAAGAUGUAACUUCAGCUGUAGUAAAAGUGACUUCUAAAAAUGAUUUAAAACACCAGAUAGCUCUUGAGCACACCCUAAAAUGGUGUUUUUUUCCUCUCUUUUAUGUGUCUUCCCAGUAAUUUUUAAAACUGUUUUUUUUGUAUCAGACAUAUUUUAAAUAGUAGGAUUUAUUAUGUCACACAUCUCUGUUGCUAAAACCUUUUCAGCCAUCUAGAGGAAGAGAAAAAAGUGAGCUACACGACACAGCAGGAAUCACAUCAUCAAGUAAAUUGCUCUGACCAUGAGUAGACCCAAGGUAAGGCUUCUGCUUUUCAUAUUUUGUCAUUUUCAGUAAUAGACUGUGUCACUCAAACCAACACGUUGGUGUCAUCUGCAAAGAUCUUACCACAAAGAAAUUGCAGUAUUGAAUCUUAAUCAUUGAUAUAGAUAAGAAAAGCUAAGUACAGACCCCUGAGGCACACCAAAUGUGACAUCGAUAAAUUCUGAAUUUGUAUUUCCAAUUCUCACAAACAGUUUCCGCCCAUAACAAGUAUCCCUGAACCUAUUCAAGCAGUUUACCAGCUAUACCAUACAAUGCAAGCGUAACGUGUACAAGUGUACAGCUGAUGGUUGAGUUGGACGAAUCAGUCAUGGUUUAUUAUCUGUUUUCCUUGAAAACAUAAAAAAAAAAAAAAAAAUACAACAAAAAACGAUUCAACAUUUUCAAAAAUGUUGGUGCCUUAUUGUUUCUCCAAUUCUGGAUUGAGCCAUAUCUUUAGGGAAAAAAAUAGUCAACUAAAACCAAUGUAUAUCUACAGUAUU